rnacentral:rRNA from 1 species
UACGGGGGGGGCAAGCGUUGUUCGGAAUUACUGGGCGUAUAGGGCUCGUAGGCGGCCAACUAAGUCCGACGUGAAAUCCCCAGGCUUAACCUGGGAACUGCGUCGGAUACUGGAUGGCUUGAAUUCGGGAGAGGGAUGCAGAAUUCCAGGUGUAGCGGUGAAAUGCGUAGAUAUCUGGAGGAAUACCGGUGGCGAAGGCGGCAUCCUGGACCGACAUUGACGCUGAGGAGCGAAAGUUAGGGGAGCAA